AACUGAAGAGUUUGAUCAUGGCUCAGAUUGAACGCUGGCGGCAGGCUUAACACAUGCAAGUCGAGCGGGGGAAGGUAGCUUGCUACCGGACCUAGCGGCGGACGGGUGAGUAAUGCUUAGGAAUCUGCCUAUUAGUGGGGGACAACAUCUCGAAAGGGAUGCUAAUACCGCAUACGUCCUACGGGAGAAAGCAGGGGAUCUUCGGACCUUGCGCUAAUAGAUGAGCCUAAGUCGGAUUAGCU
rnacentral:rRNA from 1 species